AGCAGCCGCGGUAAUUCCAGCUCCAAUAGCGUAUAUUAAAGUUGUUGCAGUUAAAAAGCUCGUAGUUGAAUUUCGAGAUCAGUACGCUGGUCGUGCCUUCGGUAUGCACUGGUGUCACUGGUUUCUCCCUUCUGAAGAACCGUCAUGUCAUUAAGUUGGUGUGGCGGGGAAUCAGGACUGUUACUUUGAAAAAAUUAGAGUGUUUAAAGCAGGCUCGCGCUUGAAUACAUUAGCAUGGAAUAAUGAAAUAGGACGUUUGACCCUAUUUUGUUGGUUUCUAGGAUCGACGUAAUGAUUAAUAGGGAUAGUUGGGGGCAUUAGUAUUCAAUUGUCAGAGGUGAAAUUCUUGGAUUUAUUGAAGACUAACUACUGCGAAAGCAUUUGCCAAGGAUGUUUUCAUUAAUCAAGAACGAAAGUUAGGGGAUCGAAGACGAUCAGAUACCGUCGUAGUCUUAACCAUAAACUAUGCCGACUAGGGAUCGGAUGAUGUUAAUUUUUAAUGA
rnacentral:rRNA from 1 species